CCUACGGGAGGCAGCAGUAGGGAAUAUUGGGCAAUGGAGGCAACUCUGACCCAGCAACGCCGCGUGAAUGAAGAAGGUCUUAGGAUUGUAAAGUUCUUUUAUCUGGGAAGAAAAAAAUGACGGUACCAGAUGAAUAAGCUCCGGCUAACUACGUGCCAGCAGCCGCGGUAAUACGUAGGGAGCAAGCGUUAUCCGGAAUAACUGGGCGUAAAGGGUGCGUAGGCGGUCUUGUACGUCUUUUGUGAAAGCGUGUGGCUCAACCAUACAACUGCAAAAGAUACGGCAGGACUUGAAUGUGAGAGAGGGUUGUGGAAUUCCUAGUGUAGCGGUAGAAUGCGUAGAUAUUAGGAGGAACAUCAGAGGCGAAGGCGGCAACCUGGAUCAUAAUUGACGCUGAGGCACGAAAGCGUGGGGAGCAAACAGGAUUAGAUACCCCAGUA
rnacentral:rRNA from 1 species